rnacentral:ncRNA from 1 species
AGCAACACUUGAAAAGGAAUUAGUAAAAAGUUGGAAGUUUUAGAGAGCACAUGGUUGGUGAAAAUGUGUACGGACGCUUUUGAACUCGCCUUUGAGUUGCCUUUGCUGAAAAUAAAAGUAAGCAAUGGCGGUGACGACCGUUACAACGUUUGAGGCCUAUUUCCAAUGGAAAAGGUAAAAAUUAGGUGGUACCACGUAGAUUACGUCCUAUAA